AGAGUUUGAUCCUGGCUCAGGACGAACGCUGGCGGCGUGCCUAACACAUGCAAGUCGAACGGAGUAAGUAGCAAUACUUACUUAGUGGCGAACGGGUGAGUAACGCGUAGACAACCUGCCUCUCAACUGGGGACAACACUGCGAAAGUGGUGCUAAUACCGAAUGUGGUAUCUUGGUUGCAUGACAAAGAUAAGAAAGAUGGCCUCUAUAUAUAAGCUAUCGUUGAGAGAUGGGUCUGCGUCUGAUUAGCUAGUUGGUGAGGUAGUGGCUCACCAAGGCGACGAUCAGUAGCCGGUCUGAGAGGAUGAACGGCCACACUGGGACUGAGACACGGCCCAGACUCCUACGGGAGGCAGCAGUGGGGAAUCUUCCGCAAUGGACGAAAGUCUGACGGAGCAACGCCGCGUGAGUGAAGAAGGCCUUCGGGUCGUAAAGCUCUGUCGUUUGGGACGAAUGUGCUGUGUGUGAAUAAUGCAUAGUAAUGACGGUACCAAAGGAGGAAGCCACGGCUAACUACGUGCCAGCAGCCGCGGUAAUACGUAGGUGGCAAGCGUUGUCCGGAAUUAUUGGGCGUAAAGGGCGUGUAGGUGGACUCAUAAGUCGUGUGUCUAAGUGCGAAGCUCAACUUCGUAUAGGCGCAGGAAACUGUGAGCCUUGAGUGCAGGAGAGGAAAGUGGAAUUCCCAGUGUAGCGGUGAAAUGCGUAGAUAUUGGGAGGAACACCAGUGGCGAAGGCGACUUUCUGGACUGUGUCUGACACUGAGGCGCGAAAGCCAGGGGAGCGAACGGGAUUA
rnacentral:rRNA from 1 species